rnacentral:lncRNA from 10 species
GUUUCUGAUCAGGAUAGGUGCUUACUGGAUGUUAGUUAUUAUUAACUCCUAAAUACAAUUUUCUAUUUAUCUGAGUAGGCCUAAGAAAAAAGGAAUUAUUUAUGUUGUUUAAUGUUGUCUAUGAAGGCACAUCCUGACUUGUUGGGACCCCUAGUUGGAGAGCCUGUUUGUGAUUUUCUAAAAAAUAAACAUGUACUUUUUGGCAGCUGUUGUGAGGGAGUGUAGAGAAGAGGUAUGACUCUGAGGUGCAUAAUUCCUCAUGUGGGGCAUGCAGGGGGUUUGGAUAUGCCAUAGAAUAAACAUGGUUAUAAUAGAUUGAACCUAGAGCCUCCAGAGCUGGAAGCACCACUGUUAACAUUCUG